GUUGAGACGAGUCGAGGUAAGGGGAGGGAUGUGGAAGGGUCUGAGGUUCAACUGUGAGCACGGACAAGGGGGAGGUGAUGAUAUGGAGGACUUAGGAGGGGCUGAUGAUGUAAGGGGCUGAAGGGGAGAGGUGUUGAGACGAGUCGAGUGUAAGGGGAGGGAUGUGGGAGGGUCUGAUAUUCGACUAGGACCAAAGAUCAGGGGGAGGUGAUGAUAUAGAGGGCUUAAGAUGGGCUGAGGGAUUAAGGAGCUGCAGGGGAGAA